GGAACUUACUUUUUCAUUUUAUAUAGGUUCUUAUCGGAUCAGUUGCAUUGGAAAUGGCACAUAGGAUCUUCUACACCAUGUUGCCCUCUUCGGUGGAGCAGUUUAUCAUAGAGCUAGUAGCUUGGGCUGGAAGUUGGUAUGAUUUCUUCCAUCUUGAUGGGACCCAUCCAGUGAAGGUUGAACCUCUCCUCAAAAGUAAGGUAUGGAUCAUAAUUUUUCUAUUUGAUUAUCUUAAACAAGGGUUUAGGGUUUAGAAUGAAGAAUAUUUUAAAGCAAAAGAUAUG